CGAAUCCCGGAGUGUGAGUAGAUCAAUAGGUACUGCUCCGGUGGUAAGGUGCCAGCGCUUUGUGCCAUCAUGCCAGUGACCACUUGACCUUGGAGGCGUUUAUGGACAACACCGGCUUUUCGGCUUAGAAAUGGAGAUGGGCACCAACCCCCAGUAUGAGUAGAUCAAUAGGUACUGCUCCGGCAGUAAGGUAACGGCGCUCCAUGCAGUCAUGCCAGUGGCCACUUGACCUUGGAGGUGUCUACGGACAACGCCGGCUCUUCGGCUUAGAAAUGAAAAUGAGCACCAACCCUCAAAGUCGGACACGACUAAACUUAAUGUCAGGGGAAAACUUUACCUUUACAUAAUAAUAAUAAUAAACUUUAUUUAGAAGUAAGGAGUUAAAGCUUAACUCCAGAAGGCAAUGCUGAAUUAACAACCAGUCUGUCCCAGUCUAUCCUGUUUUCUGGGAGUGGUGGCUGUGAGGUUCCAGACUUAUGUAAAAGAUGUGGUUAUGUUUAUUAGAGAAAUUAAGGCAAGGUAUGGUUAUGCAGUUAGUGUGUAAUAAAGAUAUUAAGGUGAGUGAUCGGUUGGGAGGAGGUGAGUGUACAGAGUGACUCGUGACUGAGCUGGAAUGGGAUUUUCAAAGGUUAGAACUACAAUAUCCAGCAUCCACAACAGUGAAGGCCAGAUUGUAAUGUAGACGUCAAUUGUAAGAUCUGGAGCUCUGUAUCUGUUUAUGGGCUUUAUAUUGCAUCCUUCCAGAUGCUGUUGAGCAGAAACUCCCAUCAAUGCAGCUUAGAACAGUCAGCAGAGAGUGCUGUUGGGAAUUAUAGUUCAAUGAGCUCUGCAGUAAGACAUAUUCUUGCCUCCAAAUCCCAGAGGUCUAUAGAAAUUGGUUCAAUUUAUUUUGAUGUCGGUUUCUAGCCAUAUUCAUAUUCUAUGAACCGUAUAUACUCAGCAAUGGAGCCUGCAGGCUAUUGCUUGCAAUAUGUGAUGUAUUUCUCUCUUCUCCUCCCUUAUCAGUGUGUUUUCUUUUGCAAAGCCUGCAGGCUAUUGCUUGCAAUAUGUGAUGUAUUUCUCUCUUCUCCUCCCUUAUCAGUGUGUUUUCUUUUGCAAAGCCUCCCUCGCUCUUAGCCUGCAGGCUAUUGCUUGCAAUAUGAGAUCUAUUUCUCUCUUCUCUUCCCCUAUCAGUGUAUUUUCUUUUGCAAAGCCUCCCUCGCUCUUAGCCUGCAGGCUAUUGCUUGCAAUAUGAGAUCUAUUUCUCUCUUCUCUUCCCCUAUCAGUGUGUUUUCUUUUGCAAAGCCUCCCUCGCUCUUAGCCUGCAGGCUAUUGCUUGCAAUAUGUGGUGUAUUUCUCUCUUCUCCUCCCUUAUCAGUGUGUUUUCUUUUGCAAAGCCUCCCUCGCUCUUAAUCAAGGGAAUAUUUUGAAAAGAGAAAGACGCCCUUGCAAGUCAGGAAGAAGAAAAAUAUAUAUUCAUUAAUCUUAUGAAAGCAUUUUCCCCUGAAAUAUUUAUUAAACUCUCCUACAGAUAUAUAGGCAUUAACCCCUUGCAAGCUUUUGCCAUCAUCUUUAUAUGUGUAUCUAUCUAUAUACAUUAAUGUUAUAUAUGAAUUUCCCAUCGUAUGUUUGCAGGUCUUUGCAAACCCUUUAUACAUAUAGAUCCAUGUACAUGUGUAUCUGUAGCCAUACAUAUACACUAUUUUAAUAUAUGAAUUUACCCUCAUAUGUUUGCAGGUCUUUGCAAAUCCUUUAUGCAUAUAGAUCCAUGUACCUGUGUAUCUGUAGCCAUACAUAUACAUUAUUUUUAUAUAUGAAUUUCCCCUCAUAUGUUUGCAAGUCUCUGCAAAUAUCUAUGUAAAGAGAGAUGUCUGGAUAGAUAUGAAUAUAUUCUUACCUACCUAUAUAUAGGGUUUGCAAACAUUAGAAGGCCCGGGCUAUGGCGCAGGCUGGAGAGCAACCCAGCUGAAACCAGCUGCAAUGAAUCACUCUGACCAGGAGGUCAUGAGUUCGAGGCCCGCUCGGAGCCUAUGUUUGUCUUGUCUUUGUUCUAUGUUAAAAAAAGGCAUUGAAUGUUUGCCUAUAUGUGUAAUGUGACCCGCCCUGAGUCCCCUUCGGGGUGAGAAGGGCGGAAUAUAAAUCCUGUAAAUAAAUAAAUAAAUAAAUAAAUUACGGGGGGAAAUGAACACACAAAUAUAUAUAGACAUGUCUAGAUAGAUAUGAAUAUAUAUAUAUAUAUAUAUAUAUAUAUAUAUAUAUAUAGGGCUUGCAAAUAUUGUAGGGGAAAUGCACACACACACACAGAGGGAUUUGCAAACUUUUCAGGGGAAAAUGCUUAAGUGAAAUUAGUGUCUAUAAUUAUAGAUCUAUAUCUAGCUCUGCAUUGUGUAUAUAAGCAUUGAAUGUUUGCCUGUUACUAUGUUGGAAGUCGGCCUGAGUCCCCAUGGGGAGAGAGGGUGGGAUCCAAAUGAAGUUGUUUAUUAUUAUUAUUAUUAUUAUUAUUAUUAUUAUUAUUAUUAUUUUAUUAUGACACAGCAAACAAGAUCAAUAUGCUGGAUUUCGUAUCACAAAAUCACAAGUCGAACACUU
rnacentral:lncRNA from 1 species